CAGGUCAAUAUAAUUCAGAUAAUUGCUAUCAGCACGCAAGUAAGGUCAUAACUUGCAUGGAAGGUUAUUGUACAACUUCACUCGGAUCACAUAGUCCCUCAUAAAUAUUAAAUUGAAUGAAAAUAAAGUUUUCAGCUCUAGCUGAGGAACAACAUAAUUUCAGAAGUCGAGAUUAGAGAGUCAGGAACAUCCACAAACCCAU
rnacentral:misc_RNA from 1 species